rnacentral:rRNA from 1 species
AUAACUGCAAAUGUUUAUAAAUUAUUAAUGGUUUUUUACCUUUUGCAUAAUGGUUUUAUUAUACCUUUUAGAAUUAUAAUCCCCGAAUUUAGAAGAUCUAAUUAUAUUUUAUGUUAGUUGGGUGUAUAAUGUUUCAAAAUUAUGCUAUAUAUAUAAUUAGGAGUGAAAGACCUAUCAAUUUUAAUUAUAUCUGGAAUAAUUUUAAAUACAUUUAGUGUAGAAUUAGUUUAAAAUAAAAAAAUGAUAAGAUUUUAUUAAAUUAGAAUAAUAGGUAAUUAAUAAUAUGAUUUAAUAGUCCAAUAUUUCCUAAUUAAAAAAUUAUUUACUAAAUUAUCUUUAUUUUAAAAUUACUUUUAAUUACUUCAAAAAAAAUUGAUUAUGUAAAAAUUAGUAUAAACAAAAAUUUACUUUAAGGAACUCGGCAAAUUUACUGUUCAACUGUUUACCAAAAACAUAGUCUAUUGAAUUUAAUAAUAGAUGAAGCCUGCCCAAUGAUAAUUUUAAUGGCCGCAGUACUUUGACUGUGCUAAGGUAGCAUAAUAAAUUGACUCUUAAUUGGGGCCUAGAAUGAAAGGAUUAAUGAAUAGUUACUGUCAAAUAUAGUUAUUUUAAAGUUACUUAGAAGGUGAAAAUUCCUUUAAUAAUAAAAUAGACGAGAAGACCCUAGGAGUUUCUUUAGUUUGUUGGGGCGACAAUAUAGCAAAUAACCUAUAACUUUUAACUAUACAGAACAGUAAUAUCAAUUAAGAAUAAGCUACCCUAGGGAUAACAGCAUAAUUUAUUUAUAAGUUUAUGACCUCGAUG